rnacentral:lncRNA from 1 species
UGAGGAGCUGAUGCUGACUUCAAUUCCCUCCUCAUUGGUUUCAGUUCUGGAAGGACUAGAAAAGCACUCAGAAGUGAAGUAAAGCGUUGUUUCUAUACAGGAUGGGAUUGACCAUGGAGUGGUUACGGUUCUGUGCUUGAUUGGCCAGCUUUUGCCUGAAUCUUGUGAUUUACCCCACAUCCUUGGGAUAAAUUGCUUUUUGCCUUCAAGUAAUCAGAGUUGGUUUCCAUUACAUGGGAGCAAGAAUCCUGGACAGUGCCCUUGUUCAGGGGCUUGAGACAUUGACUACAAAGCAUUUGGGGAACACAGAUGACUGCUUGUCUAGUGACCCCUCAAUCAUCAAGGAAGUUUCCCAGGGGAGAAUUUUGGAUGAAGCCACAUAUAAAGAGGGCAAGCUUUAUUAUUAAUCCUGCCUUAUAAAUGAAGACAUGGAGGCAUGGAGAAGUUAGAUGAAGUUGCCUAAAAUGAUUCAGAUGGCUGACCUCCAGAAGUUGUGUUGUGAGCCUGCCCCAGUCUCCCAGCAGUGUUUGAAUCUGGGGAACUCAGCAGUCAGCUGAAAGACUUCUUCGUGCAUCCCUCCACAGGGCACCAG